rnacentral:rRNA from 1 species
GCAAAGCACUCCUACGGGAGGCAGCAGUGGGGAAUAUUGCACAAUGGGCGCAAGCCUGAUGCAGCCAUGCCGCGUGUAUGAAGAAGGCCUUCGGGUUGUAAAGUACUUUCAGCAGUGAGGAAGGUGGGUAUGUUAAUAGCAUACUCAUUUGACGUUAGCUGCAGAAGAAGCACCGGCUAACUCCGUGCCAGCAGCCGCGGUAAUACGGAGGGUGCGAGCGUUAAUCGGAAUUACUGGGCGUAAAGCGCAUGCAGGUGGUUUGUUAAGUCAGAUGUGAAAGCCCGGGGCUCAACCUCGGAAUUGCAUUUGAAACUGGCAAACUAGAGUACUGUAGAGGGGGUAGAAUUUCAGGUGUAGCGGUGAAAAUGCGUAGAGAUCUGAAGGAAUACCGGUGGCGAAGGCGGCCCCCUGGACAGAUACUGACACUCAGAUGCGAAAGCGUGGGGAGCAAACAGGAUUAGAUACCCGGGUAG